rnacentral:rRNA from 1 species
UUGAACGCUGGCGGCAGGCCUAACACAUGCAAGUCGAGCGGUAGCACAGAGAGCUUGCUCUCGGGUGACGAGCGGCGGACGGGUGAGUAAUGUCUGGGAAACUGCCUGAUGGAGGGGGAUAACUACUGGAAACGGUAGCUAAUACCGCAUAAUGUCGCAAGACCAAAGUGGGGGACCUUCGGGCCUCAUGCCAUCAGAUGUGCCCAGAUGGGAUUAGCUAGUAGGUGGGGUAACGGCUCACCUAGGCGACGAUCCCUAGCUGGUCUGAGAGGAUGACCAGCCACACUGGAACUGAGACACGGUCCAGACUCCUACGGGAGGCAGCAGUGGGGAAUAUUGCACAAUGGGCGCAAGCCUGAUGCAGCCAUGCCGCGUGUGUGAAGAAGGCCUUCGGGUUGUAAAGCACUUUCAGCGGGGAGGAAGGCGAUAAGGUUAAUAACCUUGUCGAUUGACGUUACCCGCAGAAGAAGCACCGGCUAACUCCGUGCCAGCAGCCGCGGUAAUACGGAGGGUGCAAGCGUUAAUCGGAAUUACUGGGCGUAAAGCGCACGCAGGCGGUCUGUCAAGUCGGAUGUGAAAUCCCCGGGCUCAACCUGGGAACUGCAUUCGAAACUGGCAGGCUAGAGUCUUGUAGAGGGGGGUAGAAUUCCAGGUGUAGCGGUGAAAUGCGUAGAGAUCUGGAGGAAUACCGGUGGCGAAGGCGGCCCCCUGGACAAAGACUGACGCUCAGGUGCGAAAGCGUGGGGAGCAAACAGGAUUAGAUACCCUGGUAGUCCACGCCGUAAACGAUGUCGAUUUGGAGGUUGUGCCCUUGAGGCGUGGCUUCCGGAGCUAACGCGUUAAAUCGACCGCCUGGGGAGUACGGCCGCAAGGUUAAAACUCAAAUGAAUUGACGGGGGCCCGCACAAGCGGUGGGGCAUGUGGUUUAAUUCGAUGCAACGCGAAGAACCUUACCUGGUCUUGACAUCCACAGAACUUAGCAGAGAUGCUUUGGUGCCUUCGGGAACUGUGAGACAGGUGCUGCAUGGCUGUCGUCAGCUCGUGUUGUGAAAUGUUGGGUUAAGUCCCGCAACGAGCGCAACCCUUAUCCUUUGUUGCCAGCGGUUAGGCCGGGAACUCAAAGGAGACUGCCAGUGAUAAACUGGAGGAAGGUGGGGAUGACGUCAAGUCAUCAUGGCCCUUACGACCAGGGCUACACACGUGCUACAAUGGCAUAUACAAAGAGAAGCGACCUCGCGAGAGCAAGCGGACCUCAUAAAGUAUGUCGUAGUCCGGAUUGGAGUCUGCAACUCGACUCCAUGAAGUCGGAAUCGCUAGUAAUCGUAGAUCAGAAUGCUACGGUGAAUACGUUCCCGGGCCUUGUACACACCGCCCGUCACACCAUGGGAGUGGGUUGCAAAAGAAGUAGGUAGCUUAACCUUCGGGAGGGCGCUUACCACUUUGUGAUUCAUGACUGGGGUG